rnacentral:misc_RNA from 1 species
GAACGCACAUUGCGCCCCUUGGUAUUCCGAGGGGCAUGCCUAUUCGAGCGUCAUUAUCACCCCUCAAGCCUAGCUUGGUGUUGAGGCCUGCUGUCAAGGCAGCCUCUAAAAUCAGUGGCAGUGCUGUCAGGCUCUAAGCGUAGUAAAUCUAAUCGCUAUAGACACCUGGUGGCCACUCGCCAGAACCCCCCCAUUUUUUAAUGAUUGACCUCGGAUUAGGUAGGGAUACCCGCUGAACUUAAG